rnacentral:rRNA from 1 species
UGUAGUUACUACUUGGUAGUUUAAAUUUCUAGGUAGAAUUAUGAUGAUGACAUUAUCUAUCUAUUAGUCUUGACCAAAUUACGUGCCAGCAGUCGCGGUAAUACGUAGAAGACAAGUGUUAUUCAUCUUUAUUAGGUUUAAAGAGUACCAAGACGGUUAAUAAAGCCCAAAAGAAAUGAAUACGGGGGACACAUUAACUAGAGUUAUAUGAAAGGAAGCUAUAAGGUACUGUUGUGUGUAGAGAUGAAAUUUUAUGAUACCAGAUAAUUGGCACAGAUUUAUGCGAAGGCAUCUUCUUAUGUAAUAACUGACGUUGUAGGACGAAGGCUUAGGAAGUGAACAGGAUUAGGUACCCCAGUAAUCUAGGCAGAAAAUGAUGAAUGUCAUAGGUUGAAUACAGACAGGUUAAAUUGACUAUCUAAUAGUAAAUAGGUGGUAUAUUAAUCAGUCUAUUAUUGUGUCUAUAAAUGAAAGUGUAAGCAUUCCACCUCAAGAGUAAUUUGGCAACAUUGGAACUGAAAUCAUUAGACCGUUUCUGAAACCAGUAGUGAAGUAUGUUGUUUAAUUAGAUGAUACACAAAAACCUUACCACAAUUUGAAUAUAUAUAAAAUAUAUUUACAAGCGCUGCACGGCUGUCUACAGUUAAUGUCGUGAGACUUUGGUUAGCUCCAUUAAAUUGACGUAAACCCUAAUUUUAUUUAUAAAUAUAAUU